rnacentral:lncRNA from 7 species
UUCAUUUGACUCUUUUCUCAGGGUAGCUAAAAGACAGAAGCCUUCUCUCCAUUAAUUGCACAACAUCUCCAGCUUUGCAAUGGCUUGUUUGAGGGGAAGGCACUGAGAUAUGUGUACAUGUGAGAACUGACUGGCAGGAGACAUGUCUGCUCGCUGCCUCCAAGCAUGGCAAAACCCUUCUCAGCAGCUCCGCGCCAACACAUUUGCAUGGCAUGGACAGGGACCCUGCAGGAGUGGGACCAGCACAGCGGCUCUCUCCCUCCAUCCCCCACCGGAUUUAGCAUCGUGAGCCACUGACGUUUACUGGCCCUGAGUUGAGAGGGUGGUAACAUCCUCAACCCAGCAGAGCUGAACUGAUGAAGGUCAUGAAUCAAAUGUUGGACAUGAGGACUUCGACACAGUCAUCCCCUGUCCCAAGAGCAUCAUCUGGCUUUAGAGUCAGGACCUAUCUUACCUCUUCUUCAGCGCGUGUUAUCUCAUCCUUGACGAUGGCAUUUGACAAAGCUUGAGUCUUCACCAGGAUGAUAAUGACUUCAUGGUCAUUACUAAGCCCUAGUCACCAUGAGGUUUUCCACUUUACCUCAUAGGUUACGUCGAACGGAUCUGAACAAAGCUCCUUUGUUCGUGGCAAUGGUGAGCAGCUCCUCCAGAGGAUAACUGUAACACCCCUGUCUGGCAGCGGCCACGCCGGCACCGCUCUGAUGUCCGAGAGGCUCUGAGCAACCGCAGCUGGCGGCCGCACCACCUUCCUUGGCGGGCAGAGCAAAGUUCUCAGCUACUGAAUCUGCUUCGGCAGCUCUCCUGAAGACAGCUGGGCAGCUGGAUCCAAUUCUCCUUCACAGCAGCGAGUGCCAUGCCUAGGAGCCACCCCUGACACGGCCAUCUUGACAAAGGCAGUCGUGCCGGCCGAGCUCUCUGCCCAUCACUCCCAAUGGGGCUGCAGCAGGCCCAGGUACACGCUCAGAGCAAUGUGUGUUGGCAGCUACUGGGAUACAAGAGGGAUGUAGAGAAAGGCUACAUUGAGCCCUCAGAUAAAAGCAUUUGGCACACGGCUGGAAAGCAGAGAACAAGGUUCUCCAGGUUAUAUCCAGCCCCUGCAGGCUGUGGGCCUCCGUUUGUGGAGCUGUGAGUCAGGAGCUGAGGGACAGCACGGGGCUGGGGGAGGCUGUGAGGGAGCCCAGCUGUCCAUUAAAGGGAGGCACUGAGAC